GCAGAAGUGCUUCCCUCUCUCAUUUCCAGGACCACAAUUCCCAGAGACUUCGGCUUCACGACGUUUCUCUUUUUGCCCGAUCUCUCCCGGAGCUGGCUGGGCUUCGGCCGGCCAGAGGCCCACAGCGACGACGUGAUCCGUCGUGAGCGGGUCCCAGGGUUUCCUCGGCGGCCCUUUUUUCUCUCCCCUCGGUCGUCCCCCUUGCAGGCUGUCGCGGCUGGCCUGAGCGGUGACCUGGCGGGUCGCGCCUGCGCUCUGCCCUGUUUCCUGCCUGGCUGGUGGCGGCGGCCAUUUUGUUCAUCCUCCUCCUCCUCCUGCUCCUCCUGGUUGGAGCGCAGUGUCCGGAGCGGGCUGGGGGGAGAGAGCCCGAGAGCAGGGUUCGGUGCCUUUUCCUCUGUCCCCAGCCGGUGCCCAGAGCCCCCCUCCCCUUCCUCCCCACCCCCUCCCCUCCCCAACCCUGCCCUCCCCCUUGUCCCGGGAUCGCUCCGUCGCACCCACCAUGAUGGAAGACGACGGGCAGCCCCGGACUCUAUACGUAGGUAACCUUUCCAGAGAUGUGACAGAAGUCCUUAUACUUCAGUUGUUCAGUCAGAUUGGACCCUGUAAAAGCUGUAAAAUGAUAACAGAGCAACCCGAUAGCAGAAGGGUCAACUCUUCUGUUGGAUUUUCUGUUUUGCAGCAUACAAGCAAUGACCCAUAUUGCUUUGUGGAAUUUUAUGAACACAGAGAUGCAGCUGCUGCAUUAGCUGCUAUGAAUGGGAGAAAAAUUUUGGGAAAGGAGGUCAAAGUAAACUGGGCAACCACACCAAGUAGCCAGAAAAAAGAUACUUCCAAUCACUUCCAUGUGUUUGUUGGGGAUUUGAGUCCAGAAAUUACAACAGAAGAUAUCAAAUCAGCAUUUGCCCCCUUUGGUAAAAUAUCCUGCCCAAACUCCAAAAUGAUGGUAGAGAAUUGACCAAGAAAAAUAAAGAAAUCUGUUAACAGGCCAUGGAUGCCCGGGUAGUUAAAGACAUGGCAACUGGAAAAUCCAAAGGCUAUGGUUUUGUAUCUUUUUAUAACAAACUGGAUGCAGAAAAUGCGAUUGUGCAUAUGGGCGGUCAGUGGUUGGGUGGUCGUCAAAUCCGAACCAAUUGGGCCACUCGUAAACCACCUGCACCUAAAAGUACACAAGAAAACAACACUAAGCAGUUGAGAUUUGAAGAUGUAGUAAACCAGUCAAGUCCAAAAAAUUGUACUGUGUACUGUGGAGGAAUUGCGUCUGGGUUAACAGAUCAGCUUAUGAGACAGACAUUCUCACCAUUUGGACAAAUUAUGGAAAUAAGAGUUUUCCCAGAAAAGGGCUAUUCAUUUGUCAGAUUUUCAACCCAUGAAAGUGCAGCCCAUGCCAUUGUUUCGGUGAACGGUACUACGAUUGAAGGACAUGUGGUUAAAUGCUAUUGGGGUAAAGAAUCUCCUGAUAUGACUAAAAACUUCCAACAGGUAAUUCGAUUUUUCAUAGCAUUCUUUAAGGUUUCCAUCUUACAUGUCACAUAAAAGCUUUGGAAACUCUGUAAAAUGAACAAUAAAAUAAAGCAUAUAGCUACUUUCAGUUGAUUGUAUUUCAAAAUUGAUUAUUUGCGGUAUUAACUGAAUCUUAAUACUUUCUUUUCACAGGUGUCACCACCCCAAUAAACUUAGACAAUGAUAAAUAACAGAGUCCUAUUCACAUAAGGGUGCUUACUUAGUUUUUCUCUUCCUUGUCUCCCACUCUUUCUUCAUAUACGGUGUUUCUUAUGUGUUCCCUAAAACAAUACUUUGCUUUUUCCUAGGUUGACUAUAGUCAAUGGGGCCAAUGGAGCCAAGUGUAUGGAAACCCACAACAGUAUGGACAGUAUAUGGCAAAUGGGUGGCAAGUACCGCCUUAUGGAGUAUACGGGCAACCAUGGAAUCAACAAGGAUUUGGAGUAGAUCAAUCACCUUCUGCUGCUUGGAUGGGUGGAUUUGGUGCUCAGCCUCCCCAAGGACAAGCUCCUCCCCCUGUAAUACCUCCUCCUAACCAAGCCGGAUAUGGUAUGGCAAGUUACCAAACACAGUGAGCCGGGACUCUAAAAAAAAAUUGUAAUUCAUGAUAGGCUUCGAUUUCCUGUGACACUCUGAAGACAUGAAAGUAGACAUCGGAAAAUGAAAAUAUUUAUUUUAAAAAUUGAAAUGUUUGGAACCUUUAGCACAGAUUUGCUUUGGUGAAGGACACGUGUCUUCUAGUUCUGCCUUUUUAAGUUUUUGUUCAUGAUGGAUAUGAACAUGAUUUUUCUUUAUGUACAAAAACUAAAAUAAAGUCAAUAAAGACAAUUCUGACUACAAAUUUUGAUAUAAUAGGAAAAAUGGCUAAUACAUUUUGAUUCUUAGAUACUAUUCCAUUUUUAUCUUGCUGUUCAGUAUUUUAACUCACUGUGUUUUUAAAAGAGCAAAAAAGGGAGGAUCGUGAAAACCUGGGAAUCACAUAUAAGUUCAUCCUGAAUCCUGAUACUCCCCUCCCCUUCCCUGAGGUGGACCACAUUUGAAGUCAGCAGAGAAAAAGUGUGAUAUUCAGAAGAAAUGCGUGAUUUUGGAGUCGCUUUGGAGGAAAUAUUUUCUUUCUCUAUGCCUAAAGAAACUGAAGCCAGACUGAAGUUUUGCACCCUAAAAAAGGAACAGCAUUGUUUGAGUUACUUGAGCAAAUGUUGGUGGUCCACGUUAAGACAUAUUUUUAAAACUUCCAAAAGUGUCGAUUAUUAAAAUUGUAGUAUUUUACAUUUCAUUUUGGGGGGAAAUCCAAGUAUGGUGUUUGUAUUGAAGUCAGACAGUCAUACUUGUGCUUUUACAUGAAGUUUAAAUGAUACAUAUUGUAAAUAUUCAAUAACUACAGUGUUUAAAAAGCAUGCUUCAACAUAGAAGUAGCAGCAAUGUAAUUAUUUGAAGUAACACUUAACACACUCCGCUGCAUUGAAUGCAGUGGAUUGAUCAGAAUGUUAAGACUGACAUUUCCAAGGUUGGCUACUAUGUAAAAUUAAAAUUACACAAAUUGUGCAGAAAAAGCCUUAAUUUUAAUUUCAUACAAUCUUUGAUGCAUUAGUAUGUUCUAAAAUGUCAUUGGGAAUUAGUUUUUUGUUUUUGUUUUUUUUUUUUUUUUUUUUUGCUUUACAUUACUUGGUAUGUAAAUACCUUGAUUAAAACCUUGUAAACCAAUUUCAAGGUUACUAUAAGUUGUAUAGUACAAGUGUUUUUUAAAAAUCUUGGGGUGUUUUUAAAAAUUAAGAUAUAUUUUGCCCAAGAAUUUUUUUAACAAGAUUGCUAAAAACAUCUUAUUUAGACACUUCAAUGUACCAAUUUAUAAUUGGAUAUUCAGUUUAAAUAGUACACAGAGUUGUGGCUUUUAUUUUCAAUUAAUUUUUUUCCUUGUGGGCAGUGUGCAUGGUAUAAUAAGCCUGAGCAGAGGCUUAAGUUGUAUGUGUGCAGAGUUUGUAAAGGAAUCAAUUGGAAGAUGCAGAAGACCGAGGUUUGCUUUCAAGGUAUUUUUCAGGCUGUGUGGGUAAAAUUUGCCUCAAAUUUCUAUCAAACAGGAAUGUAAAAUAGAUAAAAUCCUAUGUAUUUGAAUUGUCAGAGCUAGGGAGUGCAAAUGUUUUGGCAAUGUAUUCAAAAUGCUGGCCUGGGCACCAAAGAGAAAAUAGCCUUUUACAGUUACAUAGUAAGAUGCGAUUAGUACCCACAAAUUACUGUUUUCUAAACAUUUGAAGUUUUACGAUUAGCUUUAAAAUAAUGAUUUUAUAAAUUGGUGGUCACAAUAAUUUUGGUAUUACUUUCCUCCUUUUCCCACUUAGCAAUAUAGCCAAAUGUAUUCAACAUAAAAAUUCAUAGGGUCUGAAAUUCAUAGCUGGGCCAAAUUUUUUAUGGCACCUUAGUUUUACCAUAAUGGUCAUCUAUUACACUCUUCUGUUAUAAAAUAUACCCUUAUUUCUUUUGUUUAUAGUAUCUUUGAGGAAUGUUUUUGGAAAAGUUAAUUUAUAUUUUAUAGGGAGAACACUCAAUAAAUUAUGUUAACUGUGCCCCCGAGUUAAAAAUUUUAUGAGUAUAUGUGAAACUUGAACAACUGAAGACUUUUUUUAAUUGAUAAAAAUGCUUAGUAUGCCUGUUUUGGUCUGCCAGUAAAUUAAGUAGCUUAUUGAGAUAACUAACAGCUAAAUAUAGCUGUAGUGUUUCCUGACUGUAUAUUCUAUGAUUUAAUAAAAUUAUCCAGACUAGUUAUAUUGCCACAGUAAA